CAAGAACCAAUGUGAAUCUUAGAACUACUUAGAUUUUUUUUUUUUUUACCCUUUUUUUUUUCUAUAAGAAAACCAGUUACCGCUAUAUAAGGUAACAGGCUGAUCCUGCGUGGCUGGAUGCGAGGGAAGUCUCCACUUGGGGAUACAGCUACUAUCUUAUUAAGGAAGUGGGUGGGGUUUAUACAUGUAGCAGCUGUGGAAAUGGGGAGAUCUCCAAGUGCAAGGUAACCCAAAGUCAAGAGUAGAGUUUUGUAGUCCAGCCCCUGCCACCACAUGGAAAUUCUCCUCCACUACCGGCCUUUGGAGAGGAGUCAAGCUAAGCCAAAGGAGAGUUGAACUCAAGGGCAAAACCCUUAAGGCCAAUCUCCAUGUACAGAGGGGAAAUUGACCCUGUUUGAGCUACUGAGCCCGCUGGCCCUCAUUGCAAAUGCAAUUUUGAUGCCAUUGAUGAGAGAUCUGGGAUUACAAUUCCUGACCAUUUUAGGAGACAUUUGGGGAAGGAAAC
rnacentral:lncRNA from 10 species